rnacentral:piRNA from 1 species
UGUGAACCAAGGAUCACUUCCUUUCUGGGC